AUUUAUAUAGUUUAAAAAUUAAAACCCUCCAUUUUCAAUGGAAAAAUAGGCUAUGCCUUAUAAAUA
rnacentral:tRNA from 1 species